GGCGGCGUGCUUACACAUGCAAGUCGAACGAACCUUCGGGUUAGUGGCGGACGGGUGAGUAACGCGUGAGAAUCUGCCCUCAGGAGGGGGAUAACGGUUGGAAACGACCGCUAAUACCCCAUAUGCCUAUUGGUGAAAUGAAUUUCGCCUGAGGAUGAGCUCGCGUCUGAUUAGCUAGUUGGUGAGGUAAUGGCUCACCAAGGCUUCGAUCAGUAGCUGGUCUGAGAGGAUGAUCAGCCACACUGGGACUGAGACACGGCCCAGACUCCUACGGGAGGCAGCAGUGGGGAAUUUUCCGCAAUGGGCGAAAGCCUGACGGAGCAACGCCGCGUGAGGGACGAAGGCCUCUGGGCUGUAAACCUCUUUUCUCAAGGAAGAAGAUAUGACGGUACUUGAGGAAUAAGCCACGGCUAAUUCCGUGCCAGCAGCCGCGGUAAUACGGGAGUGGCAAGCGUUAUCCGGAAUUAUUGGGCGUAAAGCGUCCGCAGGCGGCUUUUCAAGUCUGCUGUUAAAACGUGGAGCUUAACUCCAUCAUGGCAGUGGAAACU
rnacentral:rRNA from 1 species